GCCCGCGGUCCCCUGCCUGGCGUUUCCCUGGACUUGAAAGCCAAAGCGACACUGGCGGCUGAUAAAGCUUGACCUCCUGGUAUUGGCUUGCACUGUCCCUUGCACUGUCCCCUGCAGCGGCUUUUCACCUCAGUUCCUUCCUAGCUCACCCACACUCCCUCUUGAAGAAUAUAGAAAAAUACCUAGAAAUAAGUAAAUAGUCUGGAAUGGAACCUCGGCAGUCUUAACAAGCUUGCAGGUGAGGCCCAUGCUGUGUUAACAAGGCUUGUAGCAACCUUAUGAAGAAGGAAAUGGAAAACAAUGAUGAGGCUCAGACAUUGGAAAGGACCUUUUUAAGAUCACGUUGCCAUUAAGGAUCAAGCCAGAUUUCUAUGAUCCCAGUUCCUAGCUCCUGAAUGCAUCUCUCAGAGCUGGAAGCAAUUGUUUCAUUUGUUUUUCCAGCAGAGGGAGACAUCUGACCAUGAACGUCGUAUUGCCACUUGCCAGGAGUAUUCUACUCCUGGAGGAUGCUCCUCUGUGUUCCUGAGAGGCCAAACAUGGGCUCCCUGGCACAGCUUGCUGCUUGGUGUCUCCUCUUCUCUGCCAUGGAGGACGUCACAUCACAGGAGCGCCCAAUGCUAGUAUGUGCCUGUAUCCAAGUGCAACGCCCACUGCGCCCCUGGUUUGAACCAGGGUAAAAGUGAAGACUUUCUCCAUGAAGACCCAACUCUUUCUUUGGGUCUUUCUAGUUGAAUCCAUCUUUCCUUUGCCUCCUUCUGCUGCCUAGCACCAUGCCAUAGCUCUACUGUUUGGAGAUUGCCUGAAAGAGAGCUGUUAAAAAGCUGUUUUCCCCUGCAGAGGGCAGCCUGCCUCUACAAAAUACACCCAGGCCCUGGCAGCAUUUGAGCGUAGAGAACAAGUCUAUUACAUAUGGGAUCAGCAGCAGUGUAUGUUCAAUGAAAUUCACAGCAGGCAGAUAGGAAUGUGAAGAAAUUCUACAGACCUCUGGGAGCCAGAUAACUCCAGUAUCAUGAAGGUAAGCAAACUCCUAGCCUUUGAAAGCAAGAAUGAGGAAGGUGGAAAAAAGAAGAUGGGAAAAUGGAUAGUUGGCAACCACAGGCCUAAGUUUUCAAGAUCGUUGCAUGGGGAGAUUUAUGGUACCUGGAUUCCAUACUUUUCUCUAUAGUUUCUAUUC